GGCCAAGUUUUUAAGGGCGCACGGUGGAUGCCUUGGCACCAGGAACCGAUGAAGGACGUGGGAGGCCGCGAUAGGCCCCGGGGAGCUGUCAACCGAGCUUUGAUCCGGGGGUGUCCGAAUGGGGAAACCCGGCAGUCGUCAUGGGCUGUCACCCGCUGCUGAACACAUAGGCAGUGUGGAGGGAACGCGGGGAAGUGAAACAUCUCAGUACCCGCAGGAAGAGAAAACAACCGUGAUUCCGGGAGUAGUGGCGAGCGAAACUGGAUGAGGCCAAACCAGUCACGUGUGAUACCCGGCAGGGGUUGCGUGGUUGGGGUUGUGGGAUCUCUUUUCUACAGUCUGCCGGCUGUGGGACGAGUCAGAAACCGUUGAUGUAGGCGAAGGACAUGCGAAAGGUCCGGCGUAGAGGGUAAGACCCCCGUAGCUGAAACGUCAACGGCUCGUUUAAGAGACACCCAAGUAGCACGGGGCCCGAGAAAUCCCGUGUGAAUCUGGCGGGACCACCCGUUAAGCCUAAAUAUUCCCUGGUGACCGAUAGCGGAUAGUACCGUGAGGGAAUGGUGAAAAGUACCGCGGGAGCGGAGUGAAAUAGUACCUGAAACCGUGUGCCUACAAGCCGUGGGAGCGUCGCGUUGAGUCUUCGGAUUCAACGUCGUGACUGCGUGCCUUUUGAAGAAUGAGCCUGCGAGUUUGCGGUAUGUUGCGAGGUUAACCCGUGUGGGGAAGCCGUAGCGAAAGCGAGUCCGAAUAGGGCGUUGAGUAGCGUGCCCAAGACCCGAAGCGGAGUGAUCUAGCCAUGGGCAGGUUGAAGCGGAGGUAAGACUUCGUGGAGGACCGAACCCACCAGGGUUGAAAACCUGGGGGAUGACCUGUGGUUAGGGGUGAAAGGCCAAUCAAACUCCGUGAUAGCUGGUUCUCCCCGAAAUGCAUUUAGGUGCAGCGUCGUGUGUUUCUUGCCGGAGGUAGAGCACUGGAUAGGCGAUGGGCCCUACCGGGUUACUGACCUUAGCCAAACUCCGAAUGCCGGUAAGUGAGAGCGCGGCAGUGAGACUGUGGGGGAUAAGCUCCAUGGUCGAGAGGGAAACAGCCCAGAGCAUCGACUAAGGCCCCUAAGCGUGUGCUAAGUGGGAAAGGAUGUGGAGUCGCAGAGACAACCAGGAGGUUGGCUUAGAAGCAGCCACCCUUGAAAGAGUGCGUAAUAGCUCACUGGUCAAGUGAUUCCGCGCCGACAAUGUAGCGGGGCUCAAGCACACCGCCGAAGUCAUGUCAUUGCAGCAUUAGGACCAACGUCUGCUGUGAUGGGUAGGGGAGCGUCGUGUGCCGGGUGAAGCAGCCGUGGAAACGAGUUGUGGACGGUUCACGAGUGAGAAUGCAGGCAUGAGUAGCGAUACACACGUGGGAAACGUGUGCGCCGAUUGACUAAGGGUUCCUGGGUCAAGCUGAUCUGCCCAGGGUAAGUCGGGACCUAAGGCGAGGCCGACAGGCGUAGUCGAUGGACAACCGGUUGAUAUUCCGGUACCCGCUUUGAAGCGCCAAACAUUGAAUCAGGCGAUGCUAAGUCCGUGAAGCCGCCCUGAGCUCUUCGGAGCGUAGGGGAGUGGUGGAGCCGACGAACCAGACUUGUAGUAGGUGAGUGAUGGGGUGACGCAGGAAGGUAGUCCAGCCCGGGCGGUGGUUGUCCCGGGGUAAGGGUGUAGGCCGUGUGGUAGGCAAAUCCGUCACACGUUAAGGCUGAGACCUGAUGCCGAGCCGAUUGUGGUGAAGUGGAUGAUCCUAUGCUGUCGAGAAAAGCCUCUAGCGAGUUUCAUGGCGGCCCGUACCCUAAACCGACUCAGGUGGUCAGGUAGAGAAUACCGAGGCGUUCGGGUGAACUAUGGUUAAGGAACUCGGCAAAAUGCCCCCGUAACUUCGGGAGAAGGGGGGCCAUUGCUGGUGAUGGAAUUUUCUUCCUGAGCUGGUGGUGGCCGCAGAGACCAGCGAGAAGCGACUGUUUACUAAAAACACAGGUCCGUGCGAAGCCGUAAGGCGAUGUAUACGGACUGACGCCUGCCCGGUGCUGGAACGUUAAGGGGACCGGUUAGUCAUGAUUCGUCAUGGCGAAGCUGAGAACUUAAGCGCCAGUAAACGGCGGUGGUAACUAUAACCAUCCUAAGGUAGCGAAAUUCCUUGUCGGGUAAGUUCCGACCUGCACGAAUGGCGUAACGACUUCUCGACUGUCUCAACCAUAGGCCCGGUGAAAUUGCAUUACGAGUAAAGAUGCUCGUUUCGCGCAGCAGGACGGAAAGACCCCGGGACCUUUACUAUAGCUUGAUAUUGGUGUUCGGUUCGGCUUGUGUAGGAUAGGUGGGAGACUUUGAAGCAUCAACGCCAGUUGGUGUGGAGUCAUUGUUGAAAUACCACUCUGGUCGUGCUGGAUGUCUAACCUGGGUCCGUGAUCCGGAUCAGGGACAGUGUCUGGUGGGUAGUUUAACUGGGGCGGUUGCCUCCUAAAGGGUAACGGAGGCGCCCAAAGGUUCCCUCAGCCUGGUUGGCAAUCAGGUGUUGAGUGUAAGUGCACAAGGGAGCUUGACUGUGAGACUGACGGGUCGAGCAGGUACGAAAGUAGGGACUAGUGAUCCGGCGGUGGCUUGUGGAAGCGCCGUCGCUCAACGGAUAAAAGGUACCCCGGGGAUAACAGGCUGAUCUUCCCCAAGAGUCCAUAUCGACGGGAUGGUUUGGCACCUCGAUGUCGGCUCGUCGCAUCCUGGGGCUGGAGUCGGUCCCAAGGGUUGGGCUGUUCGCCCAUUAAAGCGGUACGCGAGCUGGGUUUAGAACGUCGUGAGACAGUUCGGUCCCUAUCCGCUGUGCGCGUAGGAGUCUUGAGAAGGGCUGUCCCUAGUACGAGAGGACCGGGACGGACGAACCUCUGGUGUGCCAGUUGUCCUGCCAAGGGCAUGGCUGGUUGGCUACGUUCGGAAAGGAUAACCGCUGAAAGCAUCUAAGCGGGAAGCCUGCUUCGAGAUGAGGGCUCCCACCUCCUUGAGAGGGUAAGGCUCCCAGUAGACGACUGGGUUGAUAGGCCAGAUAUGGAAGCCGGGUAACCGGUGGAGUUGACUGGUACUAAUAGGCCGAGGGCUUGUCCUC
rnacentral:rRNA from 1 species